CAUCUCAUUCACUUUGUGUAACAGCUUCUGACGAGAAGGAUGAGUGAGUGAAACUCGGGCAGGUCAUCAGGCUCCCCAGAAUGGCAAGGACUUUAGUGAGCCUGAGCGCCCAUCUUAGCAGCAGCUUGAGCUUUCAGAUCAAUAGGAGACCUGCUUGUGCUCGGAAAGCUUCAUACUCCAUGUCUUUGUGUUCAGCAGUGCAGCCAGCUUUGAUCCAGCAAACGGGAGUGAGUGCAGGCUGCCUGUCUGAGGGCUCGAAGGUCUGAUAUGCUCCUUUAAAUACUCCCCUGCACGCAGUCUACUGAACCCCUGCACAAGGUCUACUGAACUCCUACUCACAGCCUACCCCUGCGCAGUCUAUGAUCCCGUGUGCAGUCUACUAAACCCCCGCGCACAGGUGCUGCACCCGGAUGCUGCACCUCAGACAUCAGGCCGCUGGAGACGGAUAGCUGCUUUAAUGUGGGCAUGGAUGGGGACUCUAUUGCCAGUGAAGGGGAGUACCCUGACACCAGCUUCUCUGGGGCAUGUGUCUGCCUCAGCCCAGCAGGGAGGAGUCAGCCCCGGUGGGUGGGCACUCAGCAGGAAGUGAUGGUGGCUUUCUGUGGUCAUGUGGUGGUCCCCUCAGGGGGUGCAUGAGGUCAGCUAUGCAGGUGGUAUUGACUGAGUGUAUUUUGGAGAUCCUGGCCAGAGGAAGACAGGGUGAUCGUGCAGAGAUUACUAACAAAAGCAUUGCUAUUCCUCAUAGAGCAGCACUGGCUCUCUCCCAUUCAGCAGAAGCCGGAUAACAAUCACAGAAAGGUCAUGUUUUCCAGUUACCUCCCUCCACCCUACAGCCUUUCCUCCUCAAAACAACACCAUCCAAUUUCUAACGUCCAUCACGAGGGAGGAGGCUGUGCAAGACAAAAGCCAUUAUUUCGCGCUGUCGGGAAAAAAACGUAGCGUUUUGCUCUCUGAGAAUGUCUGUUAAGAACCUGUGAGAGUGAUGGAGGAAAAUUAAAACAAGGGGAUUUAUGGAAACCUCAUUUCUACGGUGGAAAGGGAAUUUCGGUUGUCUGCUUUCCAAACGGGCUUUGAAGAUGCAGAGGGUAAAUCAUCACCUGCAGAACAUCCUGACUGCUCUUUAGCAUGGGGCUAAACACACUCAGCCUCACCCUCACAGUAUUGUCUUUUUUUAGACUGUGAUUGUCACUGCUGCUGUGGGACUUCCCUUCAGUCAGGAAGCAGAGUGGACAAGUCUGGGCUCUGCUGUCUGUUGUCCAGACACUGGAUCUAAAACAAUGAGGCAGAUUAGUCUGGACCUGGACUUGGGUGACAACAUAUAAGACAUAGCAUUGCCCAUUUUUAGUACUUGUGUAGUAGCAAUUAACCUAAUGUGAAACACCACUGUGACAUAGCACCACCUAGUGGAGAAUAUACUGCUUGCUAAGCGUGAGUGAGUGAGUUACAGUCCAGGUCCAAGAGGUGCUUGGCGUCUAAAAAUAUCUGGUGAAUGUAACGUCUGUUUUAAAAGCAUACAUCGUGAAACUAAUACUCGUGUUGUGCUUUUUAAAAACAGAAAAUAGUUUUAGCUCAUCAGUCAGGGUCCCAGGCUGCUGUAUAUAUAAAACAAUUUCUAAUAUCUCGCUGUAACAUCGGCAACAAAACAGGGUCCUAAAACAUCCAACAGAAAUCUAUUAAAUGAUCGCACUGACAUUUAAUAAUGAUUUUCACAGUCUGCCCAAAAUUCGGCUACCGUAAAGUCUCGAGCACAAUAAAUGCCUGACCCUUUUAUCGCCAACGAGAGACAACGUCGGUUCGCACCAGCGAGACGCUGCAGGCUUCCUCCAGCACUGUCAGAUCUUAAUCUGUGCUGCUGUGUCGACGUUUUUAAAUGAGCCUCCUCUGGCCGAUCAGCCCGCCUUAUCUUCCUGCCAGGUCCAGGCGUAUUAGCGUGAGAGCAGAGAGCGCCAUAUGGCACCCCUGCUCCGCGUCUAUUUCACACACCCCAGGGCUCCGGUUAGCCACAAACGGCCUGCGGUCACCCGACUGAGACGGUGGCGGAGCCAGAGGAGGUUGCUACAGUUGGAAGAAUUCAAGUUUCCAUGUCUCUCCGAGCAGGGAGAACCUCUGCAGCUACUGCUGUUGGGCUGUUUUUUGGAUGGUGGACCAUGCUCAUUCCAGCUGUGAUACUGCCAUGUGGAAAAAGCACAGCAUCACUGCUGUACCUGAUAAACUACCAGCGUAGAGCUCUCUACCACGCUGCUACCAUGUCCACACUAAUGUCCACGCCAGUCAGAGCAUAUGCUGCAUUACGAGCUGAGCCUCCUGGGCCUGAAGCAGUACCUGAUGUGCUGGUGGGUAGGUGGUUCACUAAGGACACAAUGGCUGGUGAUUUUGCCCCUUUCUUCCCUCCACUAAUGCCAGCGCGUCCUUCCUCUCCAAACAUGCAGUGAUCUUGCUGAUUUGAAUUGCCUCCCAGACAGCCGAGGCUGACACACAACAGGAGGGAACUUUGGGAUUUAUCUCUGGAAACACCUGCAGUUCCCCCUCUCUCUUUCUUUCACUCUUUACAUCUCGGAUAGAUGCAUUUGGCCACGUCC